rnacentral:rRNA from 1 species
UCCUCUUCGGAGGACAAAGUGACAGGUGGUGCAUGGUUGUCGUCAGCUCGUGUCGUGAGAUGUUGGGUUAAGUCCCGCAACGAGCGCAACCCUUGAGCUUAGUUGCCAUCAUUAAGUUGGGCACUCUAAGUUGACUGCCGGUGACAAACCGGAGGAAGGUGGGGAUGACGUCAAAUCAUCAUGCCCCUUAUGAUUUGGGCUACACACGUGCUACAAUGGACAAUACAAAGGGCAGCGAAACCGCGAGGUCAAGCAAAUCCCAUAAAGUUGUUCUCAGUUCGGAUUGUAGUCUGCAACUCGACUACAUGAAGCUGGAAUCGCUAGUAAUCGUAGAUCAGCAUGCUACGGUGAAUACGUUCCCGGGUC